GAUGAACGCUGGCGGCGUGCCUAAUACAUGCAAGUCGAGCGAACAGACGAGGAGCUUGCUCCUCUGACGUUAGCGGCGGACGGGUGAGUAACACGUGGAUAACCUACCUAUCAGACUGGGAUAACUUCGGGAAACCGGAGCUAAUACCGGAUAAUAUAUUGAACCGCAUGGUUCAAUAGUGAAAGACGGUUUUGCUGUCACUAAUAGAUGGAUGCGCGCCGCAUUAGCUAGUUGGUAAGGUAACGGCUUACCAAGGCAACGAUGCGUAGCCGACCUGAGAGGGUGAUCGGCCACACUGGAACUGAGACACGGUCCAGACUCCUACGGGAGGCAGCAGUAGGGAAUCUUCCGCAAUGGGCGAAAGCCUGACGGAGCAACGCCGCGUGAGUGAUGAAGGUCUUCGGAUCGUAAAACUCUGUUAUUAGGGAAGAACAAAUGUGUAAGUAACUAUGCACGUCUUGACGGUACCUAAUCAGAAAGCCACGGCUAACUACGU
rnacentral:rRNA from 1 species